rnacentral:rRNA from 1 species
GGAAGUGGGAUGACGUCAAGUCAGCAUGGCCUUUAUAUCCUGGGCUACACACACGCUACAAUGGGAAGGGACAAUAGGUUGCGAAGCCGCGAGGCGGAGCCAAUCCAGCAAAACUUCCCUCAGUUCAGAUUGCAGGCUGCAACCCGCCUGCAUGAAGUUGGAGUUGCUAGUAAACGCAGGUCAGCCAUACUGCGUUGAAUACGUUCCCGGGGCUU